CUCCGGUCCAAAGGCCCACCUCAGGAGGCAGAGGACCCCAAAUCAUACGAAAAGACUGAGGGCCAGAGAGCUGAGGUGGCCUUUCCGAGGGCCCAGAGCCAAGAAGCCAAGAAGUACAGCAGGAAGAGACCUUUGCAGUGGGUGUCCUGCAAGGCUGUGGGAAGGGAGGUACCCAGCCAUGCACUUGUCCGCAGGCUGACUGAGUCCCUGAGCUGGAGUCACGGAGUGGAAGAAGAAUGGGUCUGAGAUGUCUGCCUGCCGGGUGAGGACAGAGGGGCAGAGUUCGGGGCCACGGGGUGGGGAAGGCCUGGCAGCCAGGAACGGGAGGCCCAGGCAG